GACGAACGCUGACGGCGUGCUUAACACAUGCAAGUCGAACGGUGAAGCGCCUUCCUUUUUGGUGGGUGUGGAUGAGUGGCGAACGGGUGAGUAACACGUGAGUAACCUGCCCCCUUCUUCUGGAUAACCGCAUGAAAGUGUGGCUAAUACGGGAUAUUCUGGGUCUGUCGCAUGAUGGGUCUGGGAAAGUUAUUGUUUCGGUGGGGGAUGGGCUCGCGGCCUAUCAGCUUGUUGGUGGGGUGAUGGCCUACCAAGGCGGUGACGGGUAGCCGGCCUGAGAGGGUGGACGGUCACACUGGGACUGAGACACGGCCCAGACUCCUACGGGAGGCAGCAGUGGGGAAUAUGGCACAAUGGGCGCAAGCCUGAUGCAGCGACGCCGCGUGAGGGAUGGAGGCCUUCGGGUUGUGAACCUCUUUCGCCAGUGAAGCAGGCCUGCCUCGUUUGUGGGUGGGUUGACGGUAGCUGGAGAAGAAGCGCCGGCUAACUACGUG
rnacentral:rRNA from 1 species